UUGUGNGGGUAACGGCCCACCAAGGCGACGAUCAGUAGCCGGCCUGAGAGGGUGAACGGCCACAUUGGGACUGAGACACGGCCCAAACUCCUACGGGAGGCAGCAG
rnacentral:rRNA from 1 species